rnacentral:rRNA from 1 species
UGGGGAAUAUUGGACAAUGGGGGCAACCCUGAUCCAGCCAUGCCGCGUGAGUGAUGAAGGCCUUAGGGUUGUAAAGCUCUUUCGCUGGGGACGAUAAUGACGGUACCCAGAUAAGAAGCCCCGGCUAACUUCGUGCCAGCAGCCGCGGUAAUACGAAGGGGGCUAGCGUUGUUCGGAUUUACUGGGCGUAAAGCGCACGUAGGCGGAUUUUUAAGUCAGGGGUGAAAUCCCGAGGCUCAACCUCGGAAUUGCCUUUGAUACUGGAAGUCUUGAGUUCGGAAGAGGUGAGUGGAAUUGUGAGUGUAGAGGUGAAAUUCGUAGAUAUUCACAAGAACACCGGUGGCGAAGGCGGCUCACUGGUCCGAAACUGACGCUGAGGUGCGAAAGCGUGGGGAGCAAACAGGAUUAGAUACCCCCGUAGUCC